rnacentral:rRNA from 1 species
GACGAACGCUGGCGGCGUGCUUAACACAUGCAAGUCGAACGGAAAGGCCCUGCUUUUGUGGGGUGCUCGAGUGGCGAACGGGUGAGUAACACGUGAGUAACCUGCCCUUGACUUUGGGAUAACUUCAGGAAACUGGGGCUAAUACCGGAUAGGAGCUCCUGCUGCAUGGUGGGGGUUGGAAAGUUUCGGCGGUUGGGGAUGGACUCGCGGCUUAUCAGCUUGUUGGUGGGGUAGUGGCUUACCAAGGCUUUGACGGGUAGCCGGCCUGAGAGGGGGACCGGCCACAUUGGGACUGAGAUAGGGCCCAGACGCCUACGGGAGGCAGCAGUGGGGAAUAUUGCACAAUGGGCGGAAGCCUGAUGCAGCAACGCCGCGUGCGGGAUGACGGCCUUCGGGUUGUAAACCGCUUUCGCCUGUGACGAAGCGUGAGUGACGGUAAUGGGUAAAGAAGCACCGGCUAACUACGUG